rnacentral:RNase_P_RNA from 1 species
UCAGGCGGCUGGGCGGCUGCUGGUGAUCUUGUAUCACCAGAGGAAAGUCCGGGCUCCACAGAGGCAAGGCGGCGGGUAACGCCCGCCCGGGGAAACCCGAGGGAAAGCGCCACAGAAAGCAAACCGCCCCGGAUUCGUUCCGGGGUAAGGGUGAAAGGGUGCGGUAAGAGCGCACCGCGGACCUGGCGACAGGGACGGCACGGCAAGCCCCGCCUGGAGCAAGACCGAAUAGGGAUGGAUGGGUCUUUAUGGCCCACUUGCGCCUUUGCAAGCUAUCCGGGUUGGUCGCAUGAGGCGUAUCGCGAGAUGCGUCCCAGAUGAAUGGUCGUCACGCAGCUGCAAGGCUGUGUACAGAACCCGGCUUACAGGCCGCCUGACCUG